AAAGAAAGAAAGCUAUUUGGAUUUCAACUUAGCCAACUGAUCAAAUACACAAAAAAAAGGUUUGAGUGAACUUACUGCAUAAAACCACAUGAAUAAAAUUGAAUCAGAGAACUUCAAUUGAUUUCCCAUUGGAGAGCCAUAUCAUAUGUAGAUAUACAUGACAAUAAAUAUAUGGAACAAAAAAGGAUCAUACCCCAUUGAUGGCCUACCGAUUUACCAAACAACUGCUGUCUUCGCUUAGCCUGCCUUUCAUUUUACCAUCAUCAAGAAUCAUCCUUAUGAUCUGAACUAAUCAAAACAAGGACAAGAAUAUAAAGCAAAGAAAAAAAUCAUGUGGAUAAUGAGAAACAUAAAUGAACACUUUUUUUUUGUAAUAAUAAAAAAAAAGGUAAGAAAGACAUUAAAGAAGGAGAAAAAGAAAGGGUGAGAGGGGUUGUAGGCGAUGACAGAAGCAUAGAGAGCACAAAGGAGUGAGAUGCGCAGUCCAUUAAUUGCACAUCAUCAUCUGUGCUCUCUAUCUUCUGUCAACAAUAUCACCACCAGUGCUCUUCUCUCUCCCUGAUAUUCUAUAGCUUUAUUCUACCUACAGCUUCAGACUUUGAUUAGAGUAUCAUGUAAUUGAAAUUUAAAAUUUUCUUUGAAAUGAAAGAGAACUUGAGUUUGGAAAGAGAGAGACACACACAGAAAGAAAGAGGGAGAAGUUAAGAGAUGACUA
rnacentral:misc_RNA from 1 species